GCCGGCAGGUCGUAAGCCUGCUUGCAAUCGGGCGGUUAGGGGUUCAAGUCCCCUCGCUGGCUCCA
rnacentral:tRNA from 1 species